UAUAGAUGAAGAUAGCAAUGUGAGAAUCAAAAUACUUUCGUAAAAUAUGAUAUAUUUGUAGUUUUAUUGCUGCGAUUAGUACAGCCAUACGACGAACAUACAGCUGGCAUUGUCGUAUAUGCUAAACAAAACGUAUAAUUUAAAUAAAAACAGAAAAAUAAUUGAAACGUCGGCGAUAAAGACAUAUUCUCAACUUAUAUCUUCGCGCCCAUCACUCCUGCGACUACACAAACAACGGCGGUUAAUAAUACAAACGGCUUCCGCAAGGCGCGCUGAUGUCACAAGUAUCGCCUCUCUAGGUAUUCUAACUCGUUGGUUUUUCAUCAUUGACAGAAGUGAUGACUGCUCAGUCCAUGUUGCCAGCUCUAUUCAUAAGAUAUGAACUGGGUUUCAGAGUAACAAUAAUUACUCUUCGGCUACAUUAUUUCACUUCAUAAUAUUAAAUUAAUAAAAUAAA
rnacentral:lncRNA from 1 species